UGAUAGUUUUUGUAAGAUGUUGCUGGUGUUUGCUUGUCAUAUUUUAACACUGUGAGGCAUCUUAGGAAAGUGUUAUACAGCUGCAUAAUGUUGAAACUGAAAAGGUACAGAUAACUAAUUUUAUGUUCUCUGGCAUAUUGUGGGAGGGAGCAAUGUGACAAAAAACUGUUGUGUGAAGGAGCACUUGGCUGACUUUACUUUGUGUCAGCCUUAAAAUGGCAAUGUCGCUUCUAGGCUCCCUAAAAUGCCCCACAACGCCUGCUUUCUCAAAAUGAAAAUUUGGCCUCUGCAAGCUGGUUCAUUGUGCUCCCCAAGUCACCUGUUCACAAAGCCCACGUAAUUGGUAGUUAUUCAAUUAUUUAUGCAGCUGCUCUGGCUUUUAGCAGAAGUAGUAAUUCUUGUAAUGGUGGUGUAUGUGGGAUUUAAUUAUCUCUUACCAUAAUAGUUAUUUGUUUGUCCUGCUCCACAAAGGUCUUCUCAUUUAAUCCUCAUUUAAUAGUUCUCUAAUGGCAUAUUCUGUCAUGUAGUUGCCCUGCUUCAUCCUCCUAAGGAUAAGAAAUUAGACUUCCUGUGCACACUUAUGCCCAAGUAAGCCUCAUUGAGGGACGUGGGUGGCACUGUGGUCUAAACCACAGAGCCUAGGGCUUGCCGAUCAGCAGGUCGCUGGUUCGAAUCCCCGCAAUGGGGUGAGCUCCCAUUGUUUGGUCCCAGGUCCUGCCCACCUAGCAGUUCGAAAGCACGUCAAAGUACAAAUAGAUAAAUAGGUACCGCUCCGGCGGGAAGGUAAACGGUGUUUCCGUGUGCUGCUCUGGUUCGCCAGAAGCGGCUUAGUCAUGCUGGCCACAUGACCCGGAAGCUGUCUGCGGACAAAUGUCAGCUCCCUCAGCCUAUAGAGCGAGAUGAGCGUGCAACCCCAGAGUUGUCCGCAACUGGACCUAACGGUCAGGGGUACCUUUACCUUUAAGACUCAUUGAACAUAGCAGGACUAGCUUCCAAGUAACCAAGCAUAGGAACAGCCCUCCCCCUUUAACUUUGGCAUUUUGAUUCAUAAGCAGACAAACCUUGUAACAUUUUUGGGGCAGUGGCAAGGAGACCUCCUUGAGCUGGUGUUGUAUACUGACUGAGACUGCAGUCUUACUCACCCUUACCUGGGAGCAAGGCCUGUUGCAUUCAGCAGUACUUGCUUCUGAGUAGACACAGGAUUGCACUGUGAGGCAUUGAAUACUAUACUGGUGUGUGUUUAAUGCAGUGAUGCCCAAAUUUGGCCCUCCAGCUAUUUUGGGACAUCAUCCCUGAUCACUGGUCCUGUUAGCUAGGGAUGAUGGGAGUUGUAGUCCGAAAACAGCUGGAGGACCAAGUUUGGCCAUCACUGGUUUAAUGAUUGUGAAGAAUCUUGGCUGCUGACACCCCAUGCAUUUCAAGCACACCCCCCUGCCCAAAAGAAUCCUGGGAACUGUAGUUUACUUCUCAUAGAGCUACAGUCCUCAGCACUCUAAACAACCCACAGUUCCCAUGAUUCUUUGUGGUGGUGGGGAACAUGUUUUAAAUGUAUUGAGUGUUCUCAGUCAACUUCCAGAAACUUCAUUCAGCAUGACCAAUUGUGAGGAAUGAUGGUAGUUCAACAUCUGGAGGGCAGUAGGUUACAUCUGGAGGGCACUCUCUAACUUACGAGGAUUUCCACACAUGCAGCUAUAAUCAGCUUAGAGCCUCUGUCCUUGCCACAUGUGAAUUUUGAUACUGCAAGAGAUAAUAAAGAAGAGAACUUGGAAUGUAUAUUGCAGCUACAGUAGGUUUUACAUUUGCAUUAUAGACUCAUUUAAGAAGCUUUUUAAAUGCAUUUUUCUCCUUAAGAGUCUCUGCUCCAAUCACUGAAAGACACCCCCCCCCCUUUCCCCUCUGACUUGCAAUUAAAUAGCUGUAAAGAGUACACUACAGAUGGCAUUAUGGUUUUGGGAAAGCAGACAGCAGGCCCCAUUUUCCUUGUAAAUGCUAGCAUUUUCAAUUUUCAGUAUUCAAAUGACUCAGGAAAAAUACAUGCUGCAUCAAUAAGCUUGUUCCUCAAUGAAUGAAUUUAAAGAAGGCAGAAAAAUAGGAACCAAAAUGUCAGCAGCAUUUGGAAGCUAUGCUCUUAAGUGGUUUGGAGGAAAUUGUGGCCUGUUACCUGAGAUACGGAAACCAUAGCCUGCAUUUUGCCCUGCAGUGGAACUUGAGAGGAGGAUGUGGGCUGCAAUGCUAUACCUACUGUCCUAGGAGUCAGCCCCGCUGAACUCAAUAGGACUUACUUCUGAGCAGUGUUUUCCCCCCCUAAGAAAAUGUUUAGCGGUGCUCUCAUUUUCCUACUCAUAUUGAAAUACUGCCCAUCAAUGAGACCAAACUUAGAUUCACAAAAUGUUUAGGGGUAUUCAUCCCCCCAGAAAAAAAGCACUGCUUCUGAGUAAACAUGCUUAGGAUUGUGCUGUUGAGUGCCUUACAAGAAGAUACUUGCACUAUGCUAGGUAAAAGCUAGUAUUUAAAUAAUGCAUUUAAAAAGGGAACAUGUUUUGGGGAGAGGAGAGGAAGUAACAGCUUGAAACCUGAAAUCUAGUAUUUCCUGCAGUUAUUUUUUCCUGCUUUAUUUAUUUACUGGCCAGGGAGUGGAAGGGGGAAUAAGUGCAGCCAUAGAACUUCAUUUGAUAUAGAACCUUACAGUUGGGCAAGGGUAAUUACUCAGUUUCGUAAAACAGGACAAGAGUCUUUUGAAGAUAAAAAAAUAGAUAAAAACCAAGAUAAAAAAAUAGGAUUUGAACAGAAAACAUCAAAAUUACAAAGUGAACUACUGCAACCAAAUAGGAAAAUAAUAUCGAAAAUAUACAGCUUGCUCCUUGAAAGAUGAGGUAAUAAAAGAACCAAUGAUAAAAUGGUCACAAGAGCUGGGCCAGACAAUUCACUUAGACAGAUGGGAAAGACUAGGGAAAACUGAUAUAAAUUUUACAGUGUGCUAUUUGAAUAAGGAAAACAUAAUGAAGAUGUUUUACCGCUGGUACCUCACCCUAGUAAAACUAUCAAAGAUGUACAAAAAACAAUCAAAUCUCUGUCGGAGAUGCAAAACAGAGGUGGGGACGAUGUACCAAAAGUGGUGGGGGUGCAACGUGGUAUUUUUGCUGGGUUUAGUAUUGAGUGACAUCCCCAAGGAUAAAAGGAAUAUAUUCCUUUACGCAACCGCAGCAGCCAGAAUCGCAAGGGCAGCCAGAAUCGUAGUGGCGUAAAAUUGGAAAACUGAUAAAAUACCAGAAUUAUUAGAAUGGAGAACCAAACUUCUCGAAUUCACGGAGAUGGCAAAAUUAACAGCAUCAAUCAGAGGCUGCUCUAAUCAAAAAAUUAAUAAAGAGUGGGAAUGUGUUAAGGAAUACAUGAAAAAAGUUGGUGCUGGAGCUUAAAAAUUAAUAUGCAAAAGUUUAAAAGGUGCAAGGAGAUAGGAUAAUAUACUAAGGAUGGAAUAACAAAUAAAAUGAGUAACGCAACAAUAACAAAAAUAAUAGUAGGCAAAGAAGAUCCCACACAGGUGGAGGGAAGUAUUGGGUUGUGUGGGAGGGAGGGAGGCAUUAAUUGAAAUUGUUAAAGAUUGGCAUAGGAUUUAAGAGACUUAAAAUAAGGAAUUAAAAUAAGGAAAGCAGAAAGUAAUAGCAGAAAAAAUAGAAAGCAGAAAAAAUAGAAAAAAGUAUUUUCUCUUUAUUAUGAAGUCCCUUUUUCUUUUUUGCAAGGUGCCUGUAUUUUCAACUGUUACACAAUAGGUGGAAAUCCAGCAGGGUAUGCUUCUCAACAUAAAGUUGCAGACAUGAAAAACCAUUCACCUGCUGAAUUUCUGCCUGCCAUGUAGCUGUUUAAAGCACAAUAACCCUCUCCCCGAAAGGUGGGAACCCCCCCCCCAAGGAGUGAUAGAAACUUGCUUUUAUAAAAGAAAUACAUGAAGGUUCCAAUAGACAUGAUAGAUUUCUUUUUCACUAGGAGCAAAAUUCUGCCACUCAUUGUACUGUCAUAGUCAUAUUGAUUCCUGUAUCUUUUACAGAGAAGCUGAAGCAACACCACCAAUCAGCAAGACGUCUGCCUUCUCCCCUUGUUGUGUCACAUAAGAGUAAGGUAUGUAACUCUUCAUUGCUGGAGGGAUAAGCUUAGAUGUUGCUGCUCUGGCUGAUUGUAAUACCUGUGAGGAUCCUAGCAC
rnacentral:lncRNA from 1 species